ACGUAGCAGAUUUUUUGAUAGUCGUAAUUAAAUAUUUUGGAUAAAUUUAAUUUUUGAAUGAAACACUUCCUUCUCGUUCAUUGCAUUAUCUGUUGCACUUCAAAUGCACAUAUUUAUGUUUAUCUGUUGUAGGGUUGCCAUACAACAAGUAUUAUUCGAAAUUGUAGGUAUUUUGGCUGUCAUUCCAGAAAAACUUUGUAUUAUUUUGAUAUAGUUUAAGUAUUGAUUUUUGGAAAAUAUAAUAUUUUAGAAACAUGAUAACAAAUGUUAUCAUAGGUUUUUUAAGGCUGUUCUGGAAUGACAUUUGUUAGGUUUUGUUUACUUCAAGGUCUGAUACAGAAACUGGAGUAAUUCUCAUUUAAUUAAUUAGAGUAUUUUAUUGUUCAUUCGUUUGCCACCCGGCUUUUGUUUUGGGUCCUUUAAAUUCGAGAUCAUUCAGUGCGGCGUUCUUUUUGUGACGAGAUCCUCUUGAUAGUGAUCGGACGGCCGUAUAAGGGCCUGGAGCCCGGCAUGCCACGUGCUGCCGUGGCGUUCCAUAUUUUGUGUGGUGCGUUCUGUCAGUCUGACUGGCAGAAACAUGCUAAGGGUGGGAGUGCUCCGUGGAGAUCCUCGGUCUGCAGUCUGCAGGUGUCCGGAGUCGGGAAGAAGUAAAGAAUUAGAAAAUUGCAGAAGUAAAGAAUUAAAGAAGUAAAAGCUUUUAACAUUUUGAUGUGCAAGGAAACUUCUUUGGCUUACUGGCGCAAGGUGUCUUUGGACCUUGUUUUCGUAUGGAAGGGUCAGCCCUGUCCACGUGGCGAGGGGGCGUCAGCACCGGAGUCCGGGGAGCAGCCGGCUCAUCCCUGACAAGGUGUGUCUCCUGCCGUUUCCUGCCGGUAGUGCUGUGUAAUUCAGGUUUUAAUUUUUGUGUAAAGUAAUUUCUGUACUCAUUUAUUUUGAGAAUUCUGGUGCAUAACUUUAGGUAAAUUCAUAUUUAGUUUUGUAGAAUAAAUGGUUGUAAGAAACCUUUUCCUGGACCCUCUUAAAGCGGCCCAGCUUUACCACUGAGCGUAGUUCAUAUUUUCAUAUGGUGUCUAAUUUAGUAUUUUGGGAAACAUUAAAUGAAACCCUUCUGUAAAGGCAAGAUUUACUUAUAAUAAUAAAUAUAUAAAAUGUUA